rnacentral:rRNA from 1 species
GACGAACGCUGGCGGCGUGCCUAAUACAUGCAAGUAGGACGCAGUUGCGAACGGGUGAGUAACGCGUAGGUAACUGCCUAUUAGAGGGGGAUAACUAUUGGAAACGAUAGCUAAUACCGCAUACUAGUAGCUGGACCUGCGUUGUAUUAGCUAGUAGGUAGGGUAAUGGCCUAACUAGGCGACGAUCCAUAGCCGGGCUGAGAGGGUGAUCGGCCACACUGGGACUGAGACACGGGCAAGAAUCCCACGGGAGGCAGCAGGAGGGAAUGUUCGGAAAUGGGGGGAACCCUGACCGAGCAACGCCGCGUGAGUGAAGGAGGUUUUCGGAUAGGAAAGCUCUGUUGUUAAGGAAGCGGUACUUAACCAGAAAGGGACGGCUAACUCCGUGCCAGCAGCCGCGGUAAUAC